AACAUUUCUGUUGUUUUUCUGUUUCUUUACCUCAAUAAAAACUCAAAGAUGACACCAACUUGUCCCAACUUGUCCCAAGAGAAUAUUUUCCAGUCAAGACCAGAAUAGUUUUUUUUAUAUUGACAUGUAAAUCUGUCACAGUCUUACAUGUACUGUGUUUGACCUUGCAUUUUUUAUCACUCCUUGCAGUUCGAUCACGCACACUUCUUCAGGUACAAGAGGAGUACACUGAGGAACUCCCAGACACAACACAAUUUAAUCUGAACAGCUCUGAUUAUCUGAAGGCAGCAUCUCCCCUCCCAUCACAAAACAUGCCAUCACUUGGGGAAGUUACACUAGAGGUUUCUGAGAUUGAGAGAAAGAGUCAAGAAAAUAAAAUAAAAACUCAAAAGCGGUAAUUUUUGGCUAUGGAACAUGCAAAGCUGUGUAAAUAAGACAUAAAAUGUAAUUUAGAUUAGUUGUUUGUAUUAUAAAAUAUUGUCCGUUGCAACGAUAUGUCACUUGACAUUUUGUGUGUGCAAGGAUUCUGGUUCAUUUUUGACAUCUCACUGACAGCACUUUGAUGGGUUUUGUAUGGUUUAACCAAUUAAAUUAUAAGACUGAUCAGAGUGAAGUUUAGGUGACAAGUGUCAUAUUUCCUGCAAGAACAUGUUUCUAUUGCAACUCUAACCCCACCAAGUGAAUCAGGAUUGGCUAAUUCCAAAGGAACUCAACAAUUUUUUGGCAGAAGUCAAAAGUGAACCUUGUAGACAAGACUAAUUCACUAUAAAAUCAAUUUCUUGAUAGCAUUGCUAUUUUAUCCAUUCUUCUUCCUUUGACUUUACACAGUCUUGAUUAUUUUGAGUUUUGUUGUAAAUAUAUUGCUCUUAGAGGAGACGGGGAAGUUUAGUAAUUUUCAGUAGGAAGACAUUUUUGUAAUAAACGGUAUACAAAAACAAAAAGGAUAAUAUUAAAUUUAUUUUCAGUAAUGAAAGACUGCCAGAAAAUUUUUUGGGAGCAUAGCAUCAUGUAUUCUUUGUAUAACAAAAACCUAAUGCACAUCGUCUUGUUAUCAAAAUAACUGUGUUGUAAAUAUAUACAAUGUAUGCACUGUCCUGGUAAUUAAUGAAGUAGGAGUACAUGCACCAUUCCACUCUUCUAUCUGUACUUCAUUAAAGUUCUUUGUUUAUAAGGAGAAAAGGAAAAAAAUUGUAAAAAAAAUAAAGAAAUUAUGGUUGAGAAAGUCUUGUGAAAGUAGUUUUUGCCAUGAUGUAGCUGAAAGCCGUCUCUUUAAAAACCUUUGGGGUUUAAGCAGGAUGUGAAUUCCUCUCCCAAGUGGGUGACCAGGGGUGGGGGGAGGGGUUGGGGGAGGCAGGAAGGGUGUGAAUUAUUGUUUUGCUCAGUAGUGGAGAUAGAAAUUUUAUUUUGCUUUGUUUUGUUUGUUUGUCUGUUUGUUGUUGUUUUUUUUUUUACUUGAAAUAAUUUAUGUCAAAUGCUUUUAGGUGAGCAUGGGAAAAUAAUUAUAAUUAUAUAUCCUGGUUUUAAAGGAUGAAUUUUCAAACUCUUAUCAAAUGGCCCCAGAAGAGAGUCUACAGCUUUCCUCUAAAUAAUGCAAGUCAGUACUGCCAGGCUACCCCUUGGCAAACACUCUGAGGACAAGGAACCUCCCCCCCUCUCCCAUUAGAAAAGAAAUACAAUAAAGUGGACGGGGUUUGAAACCUUAUAACACUGGCAUGCCUGUACACGUUUCAACGAAAUAAUUGGGAAAUUUCUAUUACAAGUUAACCAAGCCUGCUAGCACUACCCAAGGUGAUUUCUAAGUCUUGUAAGAGCUGUGCUACACAAGGAUUGGAGAACCAUACGUAAGAAAAGCAAGGGCAACGAGAAGCGAUAUUCUUGUCUUUGGCAGACUUUUCAUUCACAUUUUGACAACAAUCUAGGGAGAAAGAACCCCCCCUCCCCCCUUCCUCCGAAUCGAUGAUGGAUUCCCGCUAAGAUCAAAACCCCAUUUGAAAUUAGAAAAGGGAUGGUUUUAAAUUUUCAUUUCAAUCGUCCACGGUCCAUGGCUUUCAUGCUCAAUACGCGCAACAGAAGGAGGAAACUUUCGACUUCAGGGGCCCGUUUCUCGAAGGUCCCGAAAAGUUUUCGCACCCGGAGGGCCGUAGCAAAAUCUCAAACCAUACGAUUACAGAGCUGUUUUAUUUACAUAUUCUUAAUAUGAACAUAGGUUCCAUUCCCUACAAGAAGUCUCAGGCGUAUACACCUGUCUGUCUUUAAAUACCGGUUAACUAAAAAUGGCUUUUCAGGCCCGAAAAUUUUCUGGUGCUUUCGAGAAACAGGGCCCAGGUUAACGUUCGUGACUCCAAACUCCUUAGUCAAACAAUCCAGGAAAGGGAACCGGAACCGGAAACUCGCAUUUAAAUGUCCCGUGAUUGUGGACACGCAUCACGUCACACGUAUGUUUAAUUAAUGACACGUAUGCUGAAUUGCCACACGUUUAAUUUCACUUUUUUACCAUAAAUACAAUAAAUAAAGCAUUUUCAAAUCCACUAUGUGUCUUUUCACAAUAAAUUACUUUUUACAACAUCAAUUCCGAUAAACAUUUUAGGCAAAGCGGCCAUUUCAGUACAAGCUUCUGUUUGCUUUUUCGUCCAUGUUUCUACUUUCAAUGCUUGUAAAAAUUCUGCUUGCUGCACCGCACUAGAUCUUUCAUCACUUGGUUUACUCAAUACUGCAAAAGCUGGCGAUAAAGGCCGCAAAGUAUUUCCUUUUUAAUCUAUUUCCACUCGUCCACUAAUCCACUACGUUGCAGUGUGAAGACUCAACGUGCUGUUGUUGAGACCAUCGCCGAUAGCUCGCAAAGCUUCGCCAACUUCUCUAGAUCUCCUCUUCUCGGAGUUUGUUCGCUGCCGAACUGAUAAAGUGUUUCCAUUCUCUGUACUCUGUUCUUCUCUGCCAUGACGGCUUCUUCGACGGAAACUAAAGCUUAAGGAUCGUCUCCUCGGCUGGGGUUGGCUUGUGCUGUUAGUUCGCUUGAAAAACCUGAACCCCAUAAAUCCUG